rnacentral:rRNA from 1 species
GGGAGCUUGCUCCCUGAUGUUAGCGGCGGACGGGUGAGUAACACGUGGGUAACCUGCCUGUAAGACUGGGAUAACUCCGGGAAACCGGGGCUAAUACCGGAUGCUUGUUUGAACCGCAGGUUCAAACAUAAAAGGUGGCUUCGGCUACCACUUACAGAUGGACCCGCGGCGCAUUAGCUAGUUGGUGAGGUAACGGCUCACCAAGGCAACGAUGCGUAGCCGACCUGAGAGGGUGAUCGGCCACACUGGGACUGAGACACGGCCCAGACUCCUACGGGAGGCAGCAGUAGGGAAUCUUCCGCAAUGGACGAAAGUCUGACGGAGCAACGCCGCGUGAGUGAUGAAGGUUUUCGGAUCGUAAAGCUCUGUUGUUAGGGAAGAACAAGUGCCGUUCAAAUAGGGCGGCACCUUGACGGUACCUAACCAGAAAGCCACGGCUAACUACGUGCCAGCAGCCGCGGUAAUACGUAGGUGGCAAGCGUUGUCCGGAAUUAUUGGGCGUAAAGGGCUCGCAGGCGGUUUCUUAAGUCUGAUGUGAAAGCCCCCGGCUCAACCGGGGAGGGUCAUUGGAAACUGGGGAACUUGAGUGCAGAAGAGGAGAGUGGAAUUCCACGUGUAGCGGUGAAAUGCGUAGAGAUGUGGAGGAACACCAGUGGCGAAGGCGACUCUCUGGUCUGUAACUGACGCUGA